GUUUCCCCCUGAGGGAAGUAUACCUGUCCUGCCAGCCUUGGUCUCUGGCAGGGAAGGUCCUUCCAACAGAGAGGGAAUUGCUUAGAAUUGACUCAACACUGCCUCCUUGCUGAAUGGAUAAUUCAAGCAAACAACUCAAGAGCUGGAUGCUGCCCAGACAGGUAGGCAGCCAGAUAAAGUGAGUGUCCAGGGAAAGAGCAGUAAGGGUCAGAAGAGAAAGAGCCUGGUGUUCUCACUGCCUCCUGCCUUCCUUAUGACUGUCUGUUCAGAAGUCCUCCUAGCAUCUUUCUUCUGCCUUCCCCUGCUCCUGUCCCUGAAACCUUUUCUUCAAAAGAAGUGGAAAAGAGGAACUGGGAACCCAUAUAGCAACAGCAUCACCUGGAAUGAAUUCCUUUAGAACAUACUGUCUUGGAAAUCUGAAGCCUGCAGGGCUGGACAGGCAAGAAGAGCAGUGAGCACUGCAUGAACCUGCAUGUACUCCGAAAUAUUUUUCAAAUGGAAAAGAAAACAGAGAACACAAUUUUCAAAAUAUCUAGAGCCCUCCAAGAAGUCUUUGUAGAGAUCUAUAAAAUCUCAAGGCAAUUUAAAGAAUAGAAAAAUGUUUUAGAAACACUAUUCUCUCCACAUCCUGGGGCAGCAGCCUUCUCCAAAGAAACAGAAAGAAGGAAAUGGAUUGCCUUAGCAAAAAAACAAAUGAAGACACUCCAAAUAACAGAAGAAUGGGAAGGCUACAGACCUUGAAGUCAGAAGAAAAUUUCCUCUCCUUGCCCCGUUUCUCCUUAAAUGGAUCACCAGUACAGUCUCUUACUUCUAGAGCCAUGUUAAGCUUUCUUCCCCAAAGUUGUAAUGUCCUUCUUUUGGUUGUGUCGUGUCCUAAAAUCCUACUCUUUGGUACAAGAUGAAGGUAUAUGAAGAGAUAAUGAAGGAAACAAAUUCAAUGUGUUUGCCAAGAACACAGUCUUUUAAAUAACUCUUAAAGGGUUCGUUUAAAACAGUGUAAUAAAUUGUGGUAAUCUAGUACACAAAGCUAGUAGGAACCUCGUUUAUUAAUAAUAUUUCAACAUUGAGCAGUAGAGGGCAGCACUAUCCUUCUUUUGCAAAAUGUUGAGCACUCUUGAGAAGGAAAAUAAAGGCAAAGCUCCUGACCCCUGUGUCUGUGUUUACUUUUACCAUUAAAAAAAAACAAAAAAUUGGAGUAUUUUUAUUAUGGUUUAGGUGAUUAUGUAUAAAGAAUGUCAGAGCCUGCAUUACCUGGAAGUGGUGCACCAGGUAAUGCAAAAAACACGGAAGGUUUGAGGUCCCCCACUCAGGAUAUGGGUUCUGUCUAGUAAAGAUAAACAGUAGCUUGACCCUGGGUAAUCAGAUAGGGUUAUUGUAUGAACAGACCUAAUGCUCCUGCACGUUCUGGAUAGAAGUCAAUCUACUGAAAUAGCAGGAUGUAGUUUUAAAAAAUGUGUGUAACUCAUAUAGUCUUAGCCCUGAUAAGUGCUUCUAAAUUCUUAUUCACUGCCUUUAUUCUGCUGUGUUAGUGUUGCUCUCUGUCAUACGUGGGUCAGGUCAGAACUAGCUCAAAUACAGUAUGUGUAUUAUGACUUUAAGGAGUGGUGUCAGACAAGAUGGGUAAAGAAUGUCUUUCAUGGGACUGCAGUUGGCUAAAUGGCUGUGUAUAAGUAGUGAAAUUGAAGCCUUGUAUGCUCGUCGUCAUUCUAUCACAGUAUGAUUUGAGUUUCCCUAACCGGUAAACAGCAAGAAAAAAUGAUCUGUUAUUUUUUACUAAAGUUACUUGAUGCUCUUUAGCAAGCUGACAGAAUAAUUCUAAUUUUAGCAAAUACAAAACCAUGGUAAUCCUAGCACAUUUGGAUUCUGUUUAACCCUGAAAACUCUUUUGGCAGCAAAUCUUCAAUGCCAAUUUAGAUAAAUCCCACUAGGAAUAAGCACUGAAAGACGUUGAGUCUAGUUCCCAGCUCUGCCAUGUGAAGUUGGGCAAAUUACAGUCUCUGAGCUUUUAUUUCAUCUGUUAAAUGGAGAUAAUACCUCCUAGAUUUAUUAAAAGGGUCAAUUUAGAAAAUAUGUAUUAAAAUGGUUUGAAAGCCAUUUAAGUACCUAAUGAAUAUUUCUAUCACUGUAGCCCAAAAAGAUUCCUGCCUAGAAGACUUUAUGUCUCUUCUCCUCAUUUGGUAUCAUUCUAUUGCCUGAGAUUGUUAAUUAACUUUUAUGUAUACUCAAUAUUUUCUCCCAACUUGGUUGCUAGUUCCUUGAGAACUGAAACCAUCAAUUGCACUUCUUGGUAUCCUCCACAAUAAGGUAUCUAGGUACUCAAAUAUUUGUUGGUUGAUUAAAAACAUAAACCACAAGACAUAAUUAACUCUUUUUAAAAUUGUGGUAAAAAAACAUGUAUUUACCAUCUUAAUCAUUUUUAAGUAUACUGUAUAUUAGUGUUUACUAUAUGCACAUUGUUGUGCAACACAUCUCUAGGACUUUUUCAUCCAGAAUUCUUUUUUUUUGAGACAGAGUCUUGCUGUGUCGCCCAAGCUGGAGUUCAGUGGCACCAUCCUGGCUCACUGCAACUGCUGCCUCCCAGGUUCAAGUGAUUCUCCUGCCUCAGCCUCCCGAGUAGCUGGGAUUACAUGUGCCUGCCACCACGCCUGGCAAGUUUUUGUAUUUUUAGUAGAAAUGGUGUUUUACCAUGUUGGCCAAGACUGGCCUAGAACUCCAGACCUCAAGUGAUCCACCCGCCUCAGCAGCCCAAAGUGGUGGGAUUACAGGCAUGAGCAACUGUGCCUGGCCUAGCCAUUUUCUAUAAACCUGAAAAUAGAUGCCAGAAAAGAAGGUGCCGCUAUAAAAUGCUUUCUUGAGUGAUUUAUGUCUAACAUACAAUUAAACAUUUAUGAGAAGGAAAUUAUCAGGUUAAAAUAUAAACUCACUUGCCAAUUAUUUGAUUUUCAGGAUAUCUGACUUUUGUUAAUUACUGAAAAUAAAGUAUUAUUUCUAAUCACUA
ensembl:lncRNA GOT1-DT GOT1 divergent transcript